rnacentral:rRNA from 1 species
GACGAACGCUGGCGGCGUGCUUAACACAUGCAAGUCGAACGGUAAGGCCCUUCGGGGUACACGAGUGGCGAACGGGUGAGUAACACGUGGGUGAUCUGCCCUGCACUUCGGGAUAAGCCUGGGAAACUGGGUCUAAUACCGGAUAGGACCACUGCCUGCAUGGGUGGUGGUGGAAAGCUUUUGCGGUGUGGGAUGGGCCCGCGGCCUAUCAGCGUGUUGGUGGGGUGAUGGCCUAGCAAGGCGACGACGGGUAGCCGGCCUGAGAGGGUGACCGGCCACACUGGGACUGAGAUACGGCCCAGACUCCUACGGGAGGCAGCAGUGGGGAAUAUUGCACAAUGGGCGCAAGCCUGAUGCAGCGACGCCGCGUGAGGGAUGACGGCCUUCGGGUUGUAAACCUCUUCCAGCACCGACGAAGCGCAAGUGACGGUAGGUGCAGAAGAAGGACCGGCCAACUACGUGCCAGCCGCCGCCGUAA